UACGGGGGGAGCAAGCGUUGUUCGGAUUUACUGGGCGUAAAGGGCGCGUAGGCGCAACAAGUCACUUGUGAAAUCUCCGGGCUUAACUCGGAAAGGUCAAGUGAUACUGUUGUGCUAGAGUGCGGAAGGGGCAACUGGAAUUCUCGGUGUAGCGGUGAAAUGCGUAGAUAUCGAGAGGAACACCUGCGGCGAAGGCGGGUUGCUGGGCCGACACUGACGCUGAUGCGCGAAAGCCAGGGGAGCGAACGGG
rnacentral:rRNA from 1 species